UUGAUGUAAUGCCGUCACUUGGUCGGCGAUUUAAUAUUAUCAGAACAUAGGAAAUUGUUAGUAUUAGUUGUGCGACCAGGAGACGGUAUUCGCAUAUU
rnacentral:pre_miRNA from 15 species